CACAUGCAAGUCGAACGGAUUUUGCUCGCUGCAGAGACUUCGGUCGAAGCUUGAGUAAAGUUAGUGGCGGACGGGUGAGUAACGCGUGGGCAACCUGCCUCAUACUGGGGGAUAACAGUUGGAAACGACUGUUAAUACCGCAUAAGCGNACAGAGUCGCAUGACUCAGUGUGAAAAACUCCGGUGGUAUGAGAUGGGC
rnacentral:rRNA from 1 species